AUUAGUUAUUUACCUAGUUUCGUGUGCAUUAUCGCUUAAAUUAGGUUAUCAGGCUUGUCCAUAGGUUAAACUCUACCCCAUACACUUACAAUCAAAGUAGAUACUAAUUCUCAGAAGAAUCUGAAUCAUGAAGCUUGUUAAAUACUGCAUGCUUAUAAUGUAAUUACAGUAGAUUGGAGUAAGAAUUGGAUCCGGCACUGAAGGACUUCAAGAAGUGGCUUAUUUUAUUAAUUAAAUCAAGUUA
rnacentral:lncRNA from 1 species